rnacentral:rRNA from 1 species
AGUGAACGCUGGCGGUAGGCCUAACACAUGCAAGUCGAACGGCAGCACAGAGGAGCUUGCUCCUUGGGUGGCGAGUGGCGGACGGGUGAGGAAUACAUCGGAAUCUACUCUGUCGUGGGGGAUAACGUAGGGAAACUUACGCUAAUACCGCAUACGACCUACGGUGAAAGCAGGGGACCUUCGGGCCUUGCGCGAUUGAAUGAGCCGAUGUCGGAUUAGCUAGUUGGCGGGGUAAAGGCCCACCAAGGCGACGAUCCGUAGCUGGUCUGAGAGGAUGAUCAGCCACACUGGAACUGAGACACGGUCCAGACUCCUACGGGAGGCAGCAGUGGGGAAUAUUGGACGAUGGGCGCAAGCCUGAACCAGCCAUACCGCGUGGGUGAAGAAGGCCUUCGGGUUGUAAAGCCCUUUUGUUGGGAAAGAAAUCCAGCUGGCUAAUACCCGGUUGGGAUGACGGUACCCAAAGAAUAAGCACCGGCUAACUUCGUGCCAGCCGCCGCAGUAA